GACGAACGCUGGCGGCGUGCUUAACACAUGCAAGUCGAACGGAAAGGCCCUGCUUUUGUGGGGUGCUCGAGUGGCGAACGGGUGAGUAACACGUGAGUAACCUGCCCUUGACUUUGGGAUAACUUCAGGAAACUUGGGCUAAUACCGGAUAGGAGCUCCUGCUGCAUGGUGGGGGUUGGAAAGUUUCGGCGGUUGGGGAUGGACUCGCGGCUUAUCAGCUGGUUGGUGGGGUAGUGGCUUACCAAGGCUUUGACGGGUAGCCGGCCUGAGAGGGUGACCGGCAACAUUGGGACUGAGAUACGGCCCAGACUCCUACGGGAGGCAGCAGUGGGGAAUAUUGCACAAUGGGCGGAAGCCUGAUGCAGCAACGCCGCGUGCGGGAUGACGGCAUUCGGGUUGUAAACCGCUUUCGCCUGUGACGAAGCGUGAGUGACGGUAAUGGGUAAAGAAGCACCGGCUAACUACGUG
rnacentral:rRNA from 1 species